CUUAGACUUGGAUUUGGCCGGAUGACGAUUGGAUUAUUCAUUGUACAUGCAUUGUUCGUUUUUGUACUAAAAAAUAAUAUCGGCUGUACAGAUAACAGUGAUGCCGGGCAUCACUGUUAUCUGUAUAAUUCCCAAGUUAGUCGGCGAGAGGAAAAAAGCAUAGAGAUUUCAACGCCUUUUACAAAACAGCGUCUUUCCAGAUAGUUAUUUGGGCCGUCAUGAUGCCGUUCAAUAUAAAUAACACAACUCUUUCAUCAAUAAUAGCUUCUUAAAAGGCAAUAAUACCUACAAUAGAUACUUGAGCUUCAUUCAUUAUAAAUACUUAUAUGACUUCUCCAAAUUCCAAGUAUUUAUAGUGGCGUCCGCAUUUUUG